rnacentral:sRNA from 1 species
AAAGAAAGUAAGUAAGUCAUCAGCUUGAUAGAAAUUAUUUGUAUUGACUUAAAGAUGUUUAAUUAGUUUAUUUUUAUCAUUGGUGACCGAUCAUUAUCUUUAUACUAUUUUAUUCGGUUAUAGUA